AUUGAACGCUGGCGGCAGGCCUAACACAUGCAAGUCGAACGGUAACAGGAAGAAGCUUGCUUCUUUGCUGACGAGUGGCGGACGGGUGAGUAAUGUCUGGGAAACUGCCUGAUGGAGGGGGAUAACUACUGGAAACGGUAGCUAAUACCGCAUAACGUCGCAAGACCAAAGAGGGGGACCUUCUGGCCUCUUGCCAUCGGAUGUUCCCAGAUGGGAUUAGCUAGUAGGUGGGGUAACGGCUCACCUAGGCGACGAUCCCUAGCUGGUCUGAGAGGAUGACCAGCCACACUGGAACUGAGACACGGUCCAGACUCCUACGGGAGGCAGCAGUGGGGAAUAUUGCACAAUGGGCGCAAGCCUGAUGCAGCCAUGCCGCGUGUAUGAAGAAGGCCUUCGGGUUGUAAAGUACUUUCAGCGGGGAGGAAGGGAGUAAAGUUAAUACCUUGGCUCAUUGACGUUACCCGCAGAAGAAGCACCGGCUAACUCCGUG
rnacentral:rRNA from 1 species